AUGCUCGGUUCAUAAAAAAAAAACGUGCUGUUUCUACGAAACUCCGUCCGCGUUGGUAGCUGAUCAAUAAUGCCGUAUAAGGGGCUGCAUUUUUAAAAUAUGAUAGGCUUUCUCGUGCACGUUGCUAUGUAUAUAGGUCCGUAGUGAAUUAACCACCUUAUUCUAAUCGAUUGGGUGCAUUAGACAAUCCAGACCAAAAUACCUACUCGAUUUAACAGGGAAUUUUAUCAACAUUCAAUAGCUAAAUUCAGGAACGUUAUAUAGAUGAGAAUGUAUCCUAAUUUUGUGAUUGUGAUACUGUACUUUCUGUAUCCAGUCACAUCUGGUAUUAUGUUUAGUAAACAGGCUGAACCAAUUAACGAAGAGGAGGCGCCACAGGCUACAGAAGACUGGGAAUACGUCCUGUAUGCGUGUUUGGGGCUAUUUGUAAUACUAUUUUGUUACUGCAUGUACGACUCUUGCUGUAAAAGAAAGAUUAAUAGUGCAAGGCAAGCCAAAUUAAAUGCCACGGGACCUGCUGGUACAACGAAUUUUAUCUGGCCUUACCAACGCAGGAGUUCAACUGACACUGAAACUAUUUCAAUAUCAGUCAUCUCAUCAAAUUCAAAUACAACGUGCGAUCUGCCGCCAUCUUAUAACGAGGUCGUGACAAACAGUGAACUAUACAUGACGUCACCAACUGUGAAUAGACCAAUAACAACAUCUGAACAAUUAUGAUUGAGUAACGUAACGCUAUUGAACAAUAUAAACUAUAUUGACCAUUGAAGUCCAAAGUGACCCAUCCUGGUGUGGAAGAUGUACAAACUUAAUGGAUCGGGUUAUCGAGGCAAACAGAAUAUUCGAAUUAAUCUAUUAAAAUGGAGACUUUUGUAAGAUUUACACCAACCAGUCUCAACAACCGCGGUGGAUUCGUUCUGUAAUAUUAUUGAUCCUCCCCUUUUAGGCGGUUAUGGUUUCAGAAUGGGAAGGAGGUGGGAGAGUGGACUAUUUUGCUGACUGGUGGAGGUGGACGUUUGUAAAAUACCGAUUCGUUUUUACAUAAUUAACUCUCUGGUAUAUUUAGUAUAAAGAUACAUCCGCGAUAUUUCAUGUAUGUCGAGAGUAGCCGUCAAAUAGCAAUUGAAAGUCCAAGUAUUGUCCAUAUAUUUUUGAAUGACAAAAUCAAAAUAGUAGCCAAAAAACAUUCCUAUUUUCGUUUUUAUGAAUUAAAAACCGCAUGACGAAUACAACCCAAAACAAUCGCCUGUAGAAAUAGACAUGAUGACCUUGGAUUGGGCUUGUCACAUUGUUGAGGGUCACUGCCUUUUUCUUUGCUAUCUUUCAACGACCUGUUUAAAAGGUAUAAUAGUAUCAUUUUGAAACAGCUUUAUUCUUUUUUGAUAUUUUUACAAAAUAUUUUGUUAUUUUUUGUAAUUUUUACAAAAUAUUUUGUUAUUUUUUUGUAAUUUAUACUCUAUAUUUAACAGUUGUUUUAUUAUUAAAUUGACGCAAACCAAA